AUUGAACGCUGGCGGCAUGCCUUACACAUGCAAGUCGAACGGCAGCACGGGUGCUUGCACCUGGUGGCGAGUGGCGAACGGGUGAGUAAUACAUCGGAACAUGUCCUGUAGUGGGGGAUAGCCCGGCGAAAGCCGGAUUAAUACCGCAUACGAUCUACGGAUGAAAGCGGGGGACCCUCGGGCCUCGCGCUAUAGGGUUGGCCGAUGGCUGAUUAGCUAGUUGGUGGGGUAAAGGCCUACCAAGGCGACGAUCAGUAGCUGGUCUGAGAGGACGACCAGCCACACUGGGACUGAGACACGGCCCAGACUCCUACGGGAGGCAGCAGUGGGGAAUUUUGGACAAAGGGCGAAAGCCUGAUCCAGCAAUGCCGCGUGUGUGAAGAAGGCCUUCGGGUUGUAAAGCACUUUUGUCCGGAAAGAAAUCCUUGGCCCUAAUACGGUCGGGGGAUGACGGUACCGGAAGAAUAGGCACCGGCUAACUACGUG
rnacentral:rRNA from 1 species